AGAGUUUGAUCCUGGCUCAGGAUGAACGCUAGCUACAGGCUUAACACAUGCAAGUCGAGGGGAAACGAUAUUGGAAGCUUGCUUCCGAUAGGCGUCGACCGGCGCACGGGUGAGUAACGCGUAUCCAACCUGCCCAUCACUUGGGGAUAACCUUGCGAAAGUAAGACUAAUACCCAAUGACGUCUCUAGAAGACAUCUGAAGGAGAUUAAAGAUUUAUCGGUGAUGGAUGGGGAUGCGUCUGAUUAGCUUGUUGGCGGGGUAACGGCCCACCAAGGCGACGAUCAGUAGGGGUUCUGAGAGGAAGGUCCCCCACAUUGGAACUGAGACACGGUCCAAACUCCUACGGGAGGCAGCAGUGAGGAAUAUUGGUCAAUGGGCGAGAGCCUGAACCAGCCAAGUAGCGUGCAGGAUGACGGCCCUAUGGGUUGUAAACUGCUUUUAUAAGGGAAUAAAGUGAGUCUCGUGAGACUUUUUGCAUGUACCUUAUGAAUAAGGACCGGCUAAUUCCGUGCCAGCAGCCGCGGUAAUACGGAAGGUCCGGGCGUUAUCCGGAUUUAUUGGGUUUAAAGGGAGCGUAGGCCGGAGAUUAAGCGUGUUGUGAAAUGUAGAUGCUCAACAUCUGCACUGCAGCGCGAACUGGUUUCCUUGAGUACGCACAAAGUGGGCGGAAUUCGUGGUGUAGCGGUGAAAUGCUUAGAUAUCACGAAGAACUCCGAUUGCGAAGGCAGCUCACUGGAGCGCAACUGACGCUGAAGCUCGAAAGUGCGGGUAUCGAACAGGAUUAGAUACCCUGGUAGUCCGCACGGUAAACGAUGGAUGCCCGCUGUUGGUCUGAAUAGGUCAGCGGCCAAGCGAAAGCAUUAAGCAUCCCACCUGGGGAGUACGCCGGCAACGGUGAAACUCAAAGGAAUUGACGG
rnacentral:rRNA from 1 species